rnacentral:tRNA from 2 species
GUUUCCGUAGUGUAGUGGUUAUCACGUCUGCCUCACACGCAGAAGGUCCGCUGUUCGAGACUAGGCGGAAACA